rnacentral:rRNA from 1 species
UACGUAGGGACCAAGCGUUGUUCGGAUUUACUGGGCGUAAAGGGCGCGUAGGCGGCGUGUUAAGUCAGCUGUGAAAUCUCCAAGCUUAACUUGGAACGGUCAGCUGAUACUGAUGUGCUAGAGUGCAGAAGGGGCAAUCGGAAUUCUUGGUGUAGCGGUGAAAUGCGCAGAUAUCAGGAGGAACACCGGUGGCGAAGGCGGGUCUCUGGACCGAUACUGACGCUGAGGAGCGAAAGCGUGGGGAGCGAACAGG